ACCUGGAGAUCCCCCCUUUCGGAGUAUUUGGCCAGCCCUGAUCCUUGAGACAGGUGCUGUCUAGCAAGAGCAAGGGAAUAACCACUAAUGUCUCAGCUCUGCUGCUAUAAGAUCUUCAAACCUCACACCUUCUGCAUGUGGACACUGGCUGCAAUGAACCACCUGAGGCUCAAAAGCAGCAAGAGAUUGUACUGAAGACACAAUGAAUGCAAUCGAAGUUAACACCAAGCAUGCGUUAUGACAGGAUGAAGAGAACCUGUUCUUUUUUUCACUGCCUUAAAUCCUAAGUUGGUAACCUGAGUUAACCAAUGGGCACAGAAGGCAACCAUGUCCACAAUGUGCUGGGGGAGGCAUGUUGAAACAAAAGUAUUUUCAGUGAAUAAGAUAUUACCAUGUCUUUUUAGGGUAGAUGGCUUUAACGAAAGGAGAAGAAGCCAAAGUUAAAAUAUUCAGUUUAUUGGGAAUUUCAGAGAGAGUCCAUCACUCUGUAUCUCUACUUCUCCAGGUCAGUUUUCACUUUUUAGAUUUUUUUAUUCUGCAUAGGAGAUUGGGCAAAGUAUCUUUACAGGAGUCUUAAAACUUAAAAGCUUUCAGAAAUAUUUCAUUUUAUAUGGCAUGCAAUGAUGCAAAAUUAGGGCAAAAUGCCAAAUAAUGAAAUAGAAAUGGCCAGCAACAGUUUAAUCUAUAGAGCUUUUUAUCUCUGUUACCAGCUCAACCAUCUGUUCUCCAGUUGUUUGGGUCUAUGAAAAUGAAAGCAUAAAAACUGAAAUAUCUUCUCUAUUUUAAAGCUUAGACAAUCUAUUGGGGAAAGGAACUUCCUUCUAUAUUUAAAAAUAAUAUUUGGUGUUUAAGAAGGCAACGAAUACAAGCCUGCAGUACAAACUGGAGCUGAAGGUAAUAGACCCUAUGACUAAAUACAGCUUCAGAGAAAGCCUAAUUUUUAAUUCAUCCCUGAAUAUAUUUACAGAAGGAAUAUGUUAUUUAUUGUGGUUCAUAUGUCCUGUUCCAUGGUCCCUGGCUGGGUCCCUGAAGACUCUGUCCCACACUGUGCCUCUACUCCUCACUGGGGAAGAAAAAUGGGGCAGUGAUUGCAGCACUCAUCUUGCAUUUUUAGGCCUUGUUUUUUACUUUUCCCCACUAUAAACCUCCUAGGAGAUCUUCAAGAAGUUGUUUACUCCUUCUGUGUCUUGGCAUCCACAGACAGAGCAAGAAAAAUGUGAUGUGAAAAUAAAACAUGGAUAAAUAUAUAAAUAUAUAAAUAAGCCAUGGAAGGCUGCAGGCACUCAGCCACAGUGCAGACGACAACCAUAAAAGUAUCUUCAGUAGAGAGGCAGGUCGUCCUCUGGGACUACGUGGAUGAGUAAAAUGCUCACGAAGCAGAAUAAGGCCACAUUCAGUCUCAAAAUAAUCCUUUUACUGGAUCAAUAGAACCACUUUACGGGCCAAGGCACUGCUCAGCCACAUGUCCCACCCAGCCAUUAGUCGGUGUGGUGUCAGGGCAAUGUAGACACAGCACCAUCCAUUCCAGAACUAGGAAUGAGUGUUUUACCUGGACACAAAUAACUACACAGAUCAGUCUAUGCAGUUGUUCCCUGAGCUUUCUACAGAUCUACUCGUAUUAAGUUCUCAUGGGGGUUUAGAGUGUGACCAGGGCCAGUUAUCAUACACUGCAGCAGAUGGAAAGCAAAUAUAUUUUCAAAAAUAGCUUUGUAUGCUUCUGCCACUUGUAGGUUUCUUGACAGGACAAGGGUGAAUGGUUUUUAAACUGGGACAGGGGAGGUUUAGGUUAGAUAUUAGGGGGAAGUUUUUCACUCAG